AGCACAGGAAAAAUCUUCGUGAGAUGAGUAUAAACCUUGUAAAGAGCUUGUAGAGCUUUUCUUUCGUUACGUAAGUAAGCAGAAAGGGCCGAGAAAUUGUAAUGCAGCUGUAUAAAUUGCGUGUUAGGACAUGCGCAGUUGGUGAGAUGUACAUUUGGGUGUUGUGUGGAUAGUAGCGGUUCUGAGGGAGCAUUUUGGGGAACUGUGAACUUACCCGGGUCUGUUUACUUCAUGUAAUACUUCAUGUAGUGUUUGUGAAAUUAGCACUAUAUAUUAAAUAUUUUACGUUGAAAUUGUUAUAUAUCGUGUUGGUGCGUAAAGGUGCAGUGAAAGGGGAAUUAUGGAGUAAUAUGACGUUAAAAGGUAAAGUAUUUGUGGAUUUGGUUUUAAAAAUAGGUUGCCAUUGGGGAGAGGGGGGGAAGGGUUGUAUGGGGUAAAUGAGCUGUGAUCAAGGGUAAUCAAGGGAUCAGGGGUAAAUGAGCUGUGAUCAAGGGCCUGAAUGUUAUAAUUGGAUGUGUGUUAGUAGCUUGAUGUAAAACAGUCCUGUGUAACUGAAUGUUUAUACUGAUUCACGUAGUAUGCACAUAUAGUUACCUCUACCCGGCUAAGCUAGAGACACUGACCCACAGAUCAUCAAAGAGAC